AUUAUCAGUUUAGGAGCUCAAAAUCUGAUACCUUUCGCUGGAGCCCUUCUGAAUGUCCGUUUGUGCUCAAAUUUGACAGUCAGACUCGGUUUAAGCUAAUAAGAAAGAAAAUAUCUUAAUCUUUCAAUUCCGACCAUUUUUGGUGCCCGAAAGCUCUACUGAACUGAAAUCUCUAGCAGAUAGUAGUCAUAUUUUAUUUUUUAUUUUUCGGGUGUCAGAAUGACAUGAAACUUUAAAUGUAGCCUCAUAAAAAUAAUCCUGACAUAUUUCAGAUUUUCAUAAUUUUCUGACACUGUAAAUUUUCUGCUAAAAUAUCAGUCCCGCUCUUUACAGAAAAUUCUAAAUCUUCUGUUUGCAUUCCGAUUUCAACACGAGUAACUUCCGACUCAUAUUUUACUUCUUUAAGUCUAAUAAAAAUAGAAUCUCACUCUAUUUUUAUUUACACUUACUUUUAUAUUAAGAAUUCGGUACAUUACAUGGUCAGUUUGGGAGCAGCGGUGGAGGCGGCCGACAGGUGUUAAGGAUUGUGAGCGGCCGGCAGGAGGAGGGGAAAAAGGAGGAGGAGGAUCCGCCCGACAGGUGUUAAGGAUUGUGAGUGGCCGGUAAGAGGAGGAGGAAGAGGAGGAGGAUAGUGGGAGGAGGAGUGGGGUCUAGAGGUUCUUGGCAUUGGAUCCUACUGUGCCUUGUGUCUGCAUCCUAUUUCAAGUGAUGUGGACGUGUUGGAGUUCGUCCAUAUUAGGGCUUAGUUCGGUAUUGAGGUCAAUCUAACGUUAUUAGAUAAAAUGGAGUUAAGGAAAAAGCAUAUAAAGAUAUGCUUCUGCGUUCUCCGGUGGGACCGCAGAAAAUAUAUAGUAACCGACUCAUCGCGAUAUGCGGAACGCAAUAUUACGUACGAAAACAAACAACGUAUUUUUCCAACAUACUUUCUCACUGCACGUAACGCAAUCACCCAGCAAUCCCAAACGAAGCCUAGAACUUAUUUAAAAUAUUCCUAAUUCAUAUAGAAUAAAAAAUAAA
rnacentral:lncRNA from 1 species